UUUUUAUAAAUUUUUACAGCUGUUUUAACGAUAAUAUAUUUUACGUAAAGUAUCGAUAUUUACUUUAAUCGACUAACCUUCUCUUAAAAAUUCAUACCGAUAUUGGCGCGUUAUCUUCUCUUCUUGUGAAAUUCGUUUGCGUAGUAAAUCAUGCCGAAGGAAGUUUAUAAGCAAAAAGUGCGAGAUGUGUGGCUACGGGCUACAGAAUUCAAGGAUUGGCUAAGGAAGGACCCCACAGACGCAACACGGGCGUAUUGCAGUUAUUGCAAUUGCACAAUAACUGCCAAAUUAAUUGACUUGCAAGCGCAUGCGUCUACAAAAAAGCACGCAGGCUCAAUGGAGGGCUAUGUGCAAAAAAACAAAUUAUCUUUUGUUCAAUUGCCCACAAAGACAAUUGAACAGGAGGCAGUUUUUGGUCUAUUUGUCAAGGAUAUGAUUUAUGUUUAAUAAAAAUACCUAUAGUUUGGUACAUAUAUACAUAUGUAAUUAAAAUCAGCUUUUAUGUCAACCUUUUUCCCUUGAAUCCAGCUUUUUUCAGCUUUUUUUUUCCUUGAUCCAGCUUUUUUUGCUCAGAAAAAAAAUGACAUCACUGUUCGUAACAUAACCGAAAAUAUUAUACAGACACGACCUCGCUCUGAGUGGCUCUCUUUGUUUUGUUUUGAAGCACAUAAAGACUCUCAGCAAAAAACAGUUUGAAUAAAAAACUCAACAGAAAUGAUCUUUGGCUUCGAGUGCAUAAACUGAAGCCGCGUGAAGCAAAUGAGGCGUGGAAAAAUUAUUAUCCGAUGCUAGGUCACAUGCUAACUUUCUUUUUAGGCGCUCUCCAGCAUCUGAAUAGUUUAGCUUCGGUCUACCCAUUGCAGAUGAAGAUGCCAGAUCCGUCACAUUUUCAUCUAACGUCAAAGUAAUUGACUGCGAAGGCCACCUUACGUGUCGAGCCUUAAAUCUUUGCAACAUUCGAUUGCACUGCGGCAAAUAUUUUUUUACGUGAUUCAGAAAAAUCCUGAUUUUUUCAGUAAAUAUAUCCACCUGAGCAGCACUGAGA